rnacentral:rRNA from 1 species
GAUGAACGCUGGCGGCGUGCCUAAUACAUGCAAGUCGAGCGAACAGACGAGGAGCUUGCUCCUCUGACGUUAGCGGCGGACGGGUGAGUAACACGUGGAUAACCUACCUAUAAGACUGGGAUAACUUCGGGAAACCGGAGCUAAUACCGGAUAACAUGUUGAACCGCAUGGUUCAACAGUGAAAGACGGUUUUGCUGUCACUUAUAGAUGGAUCCGCGUCGCAUUAGCUAGUUGGUAAGGUAACGGCUUACCAAGGCAACGAUGCGUGGCCGACCUGAGAGGGUGAUCGGCCACACUGGAACUGAGACACGGUCCAGACUCCUACGGGAGGCAGCAGUAGGGAAUCUUCCGCAAUGGGCGAAAGCCUGACGGAGCAACGCUGCGUGAGUGAAGAAGGUCUUCGGAUCGUAAAACUCUGUUAUUAGGGAAGAACAAAUGUGUAAGUAACUAUGCACGUCUUGACGGUACCUAAUCAGAAAGCCACGGCUAACUACGUG